AUUGAACGCUGGCGGCAGGCCUAACACAUGCAAGUCGAGCGGAUGAAGGGAGCUUGCUCCUGGAUUCAGCGGCGGACGGGUGAGUAAUGCCUAGGAAUCUGCCUGGUAGUGGGGGAUAACGUCCGGAAACGGGCGCUAAUACCGCAUACGUCCUGAGGGAGAAAGUGGGGGAUCUUCGGACCUCACGCUAUCAGAUGAGCCUAGGUCGGAUUAGCUAGUUGGUGGGGUAAAGGCCUACCAAGGCGACGAUCCGUAACUGGUCUGAGAGGAUGAUCAGUCACACUGGAACUGGGCCACGGUCCAGACUCCUACGGGAGGCAGCAGUGGGGAAUAUUGGACAAUGGGCGAAAGCCUGGUCCAGCCGUGCCGCGUGUGUGAAGAAAGUCUUCGGAUUGUAAAGCACUUUAAGUUGGGAGGAAGGGCAGUAAGUUAAUACCUUGCUGUUUUGACGUUACCAACAGAAUAAGCACCGGCUAACUUCGUG
rnacentral:rRNA from 1 species